UCGAGGGGCGGGCCUACGAGCAAGGCGGUGGUUGGCCGGCAGGGAAGCCCUAUAGGGGCGCGGCACCGGUUUUGAAAGCGAGGCUGCUGGGACGACGACGACUCGUGCAGCAAAGGUGCUCCCGACCACGAGUUCUUCGAGUUCUUCGAGUUCUUCUGCUUCCCGGACGGACGCAGCGAGAGACCGGCGAGUUGCCAUGCAGUCUCCCAGCAACACCCUUGGGUACAGAGCUAGCUUUGCCGAAGAGGCAAAGGUCAUUUCGGAGCAGCUGCAAGGUCAGGGGGGAGCAGAUAUAUCUACCAUAGAAGCCGAGCUCCCACCUCCCGACUUGAGUUCCUCCGCCUCUUUUCUGGACCUACCAAGCAGUGACGAGGCCCAGGUGCAGCCCAGUGACCGCUCACUUCCCCCCGCUAUUCUCGACCCUGUGCAGGAGCCUUCCCCGGCCACCCCCAGUGACCAGGGCCUUCUGUUUCUCAAAAGGCUGCCAGCUUUUGAGGAGGCUGCCAGCCCUGGCAGUCUGGUCAGAUGGGAGCUCUGUAGCCUGUCGCCUGAUGCUGUGCAGGCUGCUGAUCCCUGCUCCUUGGCCCCCCAGCCAAGCACUGAGCUCAAUAAGACCUGUCUGCUUAGCUCAGGCACUCCCCUGCCUCAAGCAGCCCAGCCAGAAGGCAGCCAGGCUCCAGAUGACCAGGCCAGUGAGGAAGGGGCUCUCCUCCAAGUGCAGGACCUCUCAGACAUCCUCAUCAAUAACACUUUCUUCUUUAGCAGGGCUCCCUUUGGGACCUGCACCCCACAGGGAGCUCCAAAACCGCUGAGGCUGCUUGAAGGGGCAUUUUUUUUCCCCUUCCCAGAGAUCCCCCAAGCUCAGGAAGCACCCGGUGUGGCUGAGGCGGCCCAGCCCAGUGCCAGACGCCCCCAGAGGCCUCGAGUAGCCACAGGCAGCCCGCCUAAGGCCACCCCAAAAAGUGGCCCUCUGGGGAAGCUGGGCCAGGAGAACCGAUCCCUGGCUGGGGCCUCUUUAGCUGUUUCCAGGAGGGAGCAUCAGGCCCUUCCUCUGCCUGGGCAGAAAAGAUGGUCACCUGUCCCCUUCAAAACUUCCCACUUGCCUGUCCUGUGCAAGUCCAGAAGGGAACCCUUGGCAUCUCCAGGAGCUAGGCAGCAGAAAGGCAGGAUCUGUGAGGCGGGCAGGAUGAAGGAAGCAGAACCACCUGCCAAGGCAGGGAAUAAUCCACCCUCGGCAGUCAAGGUGUCUCAAGUGAGUAGCUGCCCUCUCCUGUGUCUGGCACUGCCGUGAUGCACUUACUUCCUAGGCAUUUGUGUCCUUGAGGGGGAAGGUCAGCCUGUUACACUGGGAGAGGAGAUGCUUGUCAAUUGACUGACAAGGUAGAAGCUGAAGAAGGAAGGGAGGCUGGCCACUGAGAGGUGCCCAUGCACCACAUGCACAGUGCCUGGUUUGUGUCAGUGCUUAUUCUCCAAGCCAGGAACUCCAGGUUCAUCGGGAAGGCCUAGGCCUUUGGGCUGAGCUCUGCUCUGCUACGUCAGGCCAUGGCAUUUGCCCUCCACUUUCUGUCUGGCUCAGUUCUCCCUCGUGGGUUAGGGGUAUGUCAGGUGACUGAGGCAAGAGCAGUGGGUAAGGGACUGGGGCCUCACUGCCCUCUGCCCUUCCCCCGUCAACUGCUAACAAUCCAACUAAGAGCAAAAUCAGUUAAACAAUAGCACUGAGUGUGUGUGUGUGUGUGUGUGUGUGUGUGUGUGUGUGCGUACGUACACGUGUGUACUUCAGUUCCUCCACAGCAAAUCGACGCCACCUCGAAUCUUGCAUCAGAGGGGUCCCAGUGCUUGGGACUCUAAAUCCAGGGACCCUCAGGCAGCUCGAAUUUUGAAGCCCUUGCCUUCUAACCAGGGCACCCGAUCCAGAGUCCCAUCCAGGACAGGUAAGUCCUCUGAGCUUGGGAGUUUGGGAAAAGAGGGAGAACUUGGGCACACAUUCACUCCCCAGGCUCUAGUCUCCCUUCCCAGCCGAGCAUCCUUUAGGAACUAGGGCUAUGAGCCGAACAAGCUGGGGGCCAGAUCGUGAAGCUGCCUUGUGGGUAUGGAGAGCUCAGAGGAGAACCCCCGUCCUCACAGGGGCUCCAAGUCUCGUGAGAGCGAGGCCCGGCUGCAGCUUGGGGCACAUAAUCAGUCUGGUCUCCAGUCUCUUGGCCACAGACUGUUCUGAGGCCCCUUAAACAUAAGCAGAGCCUGAGCCCUGAGCAUCUUGGUGUUGCCUGCCAGCAGGGGGCAGCACUGCUUCCACCAACCCUCAUCUUGCCCAACAUGAUCCCACCUGGCUUUGUCCCCUUCUGUUGCAGAUGAGCAGCCCGCCAAGCAGGACGGGAAGCCCCAGCCUUCUUCAGGACGGACGUGCCUCCAGGUAAGGGAAGUCAGGCUUCCCAGCCAGAGGAUCCCUCUCUUUGGACCUAGAUUUCUCCUCAUGGAAGCUUUGGUGAAGGGUAGGGAGCCGGCCAGCCCCCUGGGAAAGAGAUGAGCCUCAUGCGCAGGCACAUAGGGGACCUUUCUUAUCUUCGGGAUGGAGCCUGGUAUGAGAGGCAAGUCCAUGGCAUAGCAGAUGGAGCCAGGCUUCAGAUGGGCCCCACAUCCUUACUAGUCGAGUGGCCCCGGACAAGGCAAUCUGCCUGAGCUUUUGUUUCCUCAUCUGUAUAAUGGGGUUAAUAAUAGCAACUAUCGUGAGGAUUGGAUAAGAUGAUGGAGGGGAAGCAUCUUAUAAGCCUUUGAAGCACCGUGCACAUCGGAGCUUAGUGUUAUCCCAUCCCCUCCUUCCCCCUUUUCCCAAGGGAGACUAGCAGGGUCCUUGUUCUCCUGGGUAGGGAGGGUGGCUGGUUUUGGUUAGGGGAUGGCUGGAAGAUCUGAACUCUUUCCUAUGGUAUCUGUUGGGGGACAGUGCCUUGUGCUGCAGAAGCAAGUGGAAGACCUCAAAAGCCAACUAGGUAUGGAGGGCAGGGGCAGGCGGGCAGGGCAGCCCGCUUGUCCCUGGCAGCCAAUCCCCCAGCUUCUUCCUGGCAGAAGGCCAAUGUCAUGGAGGGAGAAAGGGGGUAUAGAGUGGGGGGUGGGGAUGAGAAGUUAGAGCAGAGAGAAGCAAGUUAGCAGGAGGGCGGGCCUGCUGCUCCUUUCUCCCUGCCCCCCCCCCCCAAGCGUGUCCUUCACAAUUCUUCCCAGGGUUCUGUAGCCUCAUGAGUACCAGGGGAGAUGAAGUGGGGAAUGAGGGCAUUGGUCCUGGGAUGGCUGGGUAGACACACAGAGGUUCCGAGUGCGGGCUAAAAGGUAUCGGCUGUCCCGGGCCUAACGAAUGCCCUUUUAUUCCAGCCGCCAUGCAGUGCCUUAGCGGGGAGCUCCAGGGCCUUCAAGGUUAGUAGCCGGGGCCAAGGAAGGAGGCUGGCUGGGGGCUGGAGCGGUGGGGGAGGUGCGGAGGCUCCCCGUGCUCAUUUCUUCUCUCCUCCCUCGGCUCUGUUUGACCGACAGGCGUGGCCCGGGAUCCGUCCACAACAAACACCGGGGGCACCACCUGAAUGCCAGGCCCCGGACUCCAGGGCCCUCUCCUCCCAAGGCGGGCCCUACCAUGGAGUCUUUCCGGGUCCUUGUCUCCUUUCCUCCUCCCUCACCCCCGUUCCCCACCCUAGGACAUUGGAGCUAAGCGCACGGGUGGGGGUCUCCCAGUUCUGACUGGAGGCCAGUUGGGGCCAAGUUUUGUUGAGAGGCCUCAUCAUCGCAGGCUGUUAGCACAGUGACCUCCGGCUGCUCUUCUGAGUGGUUGUUCCCGUUCCCGUCCCCAUCCCCCACUUUAGGUGGAAAUGCCAGGAGAGAGCUGGGUUCAAAUCUCACUCACAUCUGGUGCCUCACUGACUGUGUUACUCUGGGCAAGUCACUUCAUCUCCGAGUUCCCUCAUUUGUGAAAUGAGGCUAAUGAUUUCUUCCUGUUUCGACCCCAGUUGUUGUAAGACUCGGACGAGAUGAUCUAUGUGAACUGCUUCAAGCAUCCUUAAAGGCUCUCCUGGAUUUUGUUCCAAAGGGCUUGGAUGCCAGAGCAUGCACACUGGGAGAAGGCAUUUCCUGACUGGGAGUUCAUCCCCUCCUCCCAGACCCCACUCUUCUUUCUGUUUCCUUUGGAGUGAUUUUAAGUGAUCAUAGAAGUGGAAGGGGCCAUCCCUUGUGCAGAUGAAACUGAGGCCCAGGGAAACCAAGUAACUUGCGCAGCGUCACGCAGAGCACAAGCGUCACAGUUAGGCUUUGAAUGCAGGCUCUCUCGCCUCAGACAAAUUUGGAAGCCUUUAUGGUAGCCCAGGCAAGAAUAAUAAAGCAGUUUGAGUGGCAAAGGUGGAGGCA
rnacentral:lncRNA from 1 species